rnacentral:rRNA from 1 species
GAAACCUGGUUGAUCCUGCCAGUAGUCAUAUGCUUGUCUCAAAGAUUAAGCCAUGCAUGUCUAAGUAUAAGCCUUUGUACGGCGAAACUGCGAAUGGCUCAUUAAAACAGUUAUAGUUUAUUCGAUAAUCAAUUGCUACAUGGAUAACUGUAGUAAUUCUAGAGCUAAUACAUGCGUAAGAACCCAACUUUACG